AUAAAUCAAAAUGAUAAAAAAAACAAAAAAAUUAAAAUUAAAAUUUAAAAAACACAAUUGUAUGCAAUAACUAAAUCUCCAUCUUCACUCGUCUAAUUUCUUUAAGUUCUCUUUGUUUUCUAAGAAAAUCAAAUUAAAUCCCCAAUCCUCUAAAAAUUCUUUUAUCUUUGGGCUUUGAUUGAUAUAACUGAUUGGAGAAUCUGAACGUGACUCAAAAGUCGCGGAAGGUACGGAUCUCGUUAAUUUCUCUCAUCCUCAUCCUCUUUCUCUUCAAUUUUAUUUUUUUGACGAGCACUCAAACUACUUGCUGCAAUGAACGGGAUUAUUUUGAACCGGUGUAGUGCUUAGCACAAGGUAGUUAUCCAGGAUUUAGAAACAAUCAUGGCCAAGUCAGAAGUAGAACAAGCAUCUGCUGCGUUUAGGAUCACACUGGAAGGAGACUGUAUACCUGCUCUGCUCCUCGCUUCUCAGUCAGGUAUUAACUGAUUGAUUUUGCCAUGUUAUACAUUGCUUGUAGUGAUUCACAUAUAAUAUUAUUGGUUUUUUUGGCAAGCUUGUGAUUUAUAUUGUGAAAAGCACUGCAUGGGUAAGAUGAGAUUGAAUAGAGCUACAAGAGUAAUUUGGAUAAUACGUCAUCUUUCAAUUAGGAAACAAGCUGAAAAAUAUUAAAAUAAUAACCUGAUUGAAGGUGUUUUCAUUUUUUAUGAAGAAAUUUUGUUAUUAUCUUAAUCAGUUCUUUGGUAAGCUGAUUUGUUUAGAAAUGUCCUGCCAGGGGUUAGUUUUCAUUUAUUGAAACACCGUUUAGUUACUGUGAAAAUUUUUCAUGUUUAUGAAGGGGUGAGUGAGACACUAAGUAUUUUUGACACUGGAUUAAAAUUCUCAGAUUUCUAACUUCGUCUUCGAAUGUAGAAUACUUGGUGCACGUUUUCAAUCUCAAUUAAUAGGAAGAGCUACAGAAGUGGGCUCUGAAUGUAUUUUCAAUUGCAGUGAUUAUGCUUUCUGUCCUUGAAAUUCCAUAGUUUAUUAAGAAAAUUGAUGCUCUAAAUCUCAUUUAUAUUCUGUAGCUGUUAAUUUGCAUUGAUAUCUUCAGAGCGAGAGUUAGUUGAGUUUGAUGGUUUGUACCAUCAAAGCAACUGGGUUUUGAGAAAAUAGGGAAGUCCAGCUCGUAGGACCUUGCCAUUCUCACAUCAGGUUACCACUGAAACCAACCUUGAGAAGAUGGGAUUAGAAAAGUUUCAUUCAUGUAAACAGGUUUGGUUGUAUAACAUUGGAUUUGGAAUUCUGGUUAUGAAGUGGAGAAGGUCUGUGAUGUUUCCAGCGGAGAUCUGGCCUGUAGCAUGUGAGACUUUCCUCUGUUCUUGUGUGUGUCUGUAUUAAAUUGUGUGAAUUUAAUUUUAUCAUUAAAUUUAUAAUGUUUUCCAAUGAUUUUAAUAUAUAAAAAAUAAUUAUUUAUUAUCUUUUUAAAUAAAUUUUUUUUUUCACAAUGACAAACAAUCACACAGUCUACGAUGCAUCAUGCACCAAAAUACAAAAUACAUUUUUUAAGAUGAGUUAUGUGUUUUUUACAUCUUAUUUGGUAUUGUGGUUGUAAUUGUUUUUUAAAAUAUUUUUAAUUUGAAAAUGUAUUAAAAUAAUAUUUUAUUUUAUUUUUUUUAAAAAAAUUUCAAAAUAAUUUUCAACCCUUUAUCCGGAUCGAUUUUCUUUGUUUGUUUUGUUUUUCCUUUUAUUUAUUUGUUUCUUAGGCAAUGAUGUGGGGACCCAAAUCCACGUUGCUUUCCUAUGGAUAUGGCCUUUGUAUUGCAUAUGGGCUAAAUUUCUAACAGAACAUAUAAAAUCCUCGUGCAGACAGUUUUUUGAGCCAA